rnacentral:rRNA from 1 species
UAAGGAAUAUUGGACAAUGGUCGCAAGACUGAUCCAGCCACGCCGCGUGCAGGAUGACUGCCCUAUGGGUUGUAAACUGCUUUUAUACGGGAAAAAUAAGUUGUACGUGUACGACCUUGAUGGUACCGUAAGAAUAAGCACCGGCUAACUUCGUGCCAGCAGCCGCGGUAAUACGAAGGGUGCAAGCGUUAUCCGGAUUUAUUGGGUUUAAAGGGUGCGUAGGCGGGUUGGUAAGUCAGCGGUGAAAGCCUGUAGCUCAACUACAGAACUGCCGUUGAUACUACCGAUCUUGAGUAUGGUUGAUGUUGCUGGAAUGUGCAGUGUAGCGGUGAAAUGCUUAGAUAUUGCACAGAACACCAAUUGCGAAGGCAGGUAACAAAGCCACAACUGACGCUGAGGCACGAAAGUGUGGGGAUCAAACAGG